AACCAACAGGGAUUGCCCUAGUAACGGCGAGUGAAGCGGCAACAGCUCAAAUUUGAAAUCUGGCGCAAGCCCGAGUUGUAAUUUGUAGAGGAUGCUUCUAGGUUGCGGCCGGUCUAAGUUCCUUGGAACAGGACGUCACAGAGGGUGAGAAUCCCGUAUGUGACCGGCUUGCACCUUCUACGUAGCUCCUUCGACGAGUCGAGUUGUUUGGGAAUGCAGCUCUAAAUGGGAGGUAAAUGUCUUCUAAAGCUAAAUACCGGCCAGAGACCGAUAGCGCACAAGUAGAGUGAUCGAAAGAUGAAAAGCACUUUGGAAAGAGAGUUAAAAAGCACGUGAAAUUGUUGAAAGGGAAGCGCAUGCAACCAGACUUGUCGGCGGUGUUCCGCCGGUCUUCUGACCGGUCUACUCGCCGCCGACAGGCCAGCAUCGUCUGGGGGCGCCGGAGAAAGGUGCCAGGAAUGUAGCUCCUCGGAGUGUUAUAGCCUGGCACACAAUACGGUGACUCCCGGGCGAGGUCCGCGCUUCGGCUAGGAUGCUGGCGUAAUGGUUGCCUGCGACCCGUCUUGAAACACGGACCAAGGAGUCGACCAUCUGUGCGAGUGUUCGGGUGUUAAACCCCUACGCGUAAUGAAAGUGAACGGAGGUGGGAACGCAAGUGCACCAUCGACCGAUCCUGAUGUCCUCGGAUGGAUUUGAGUAAGAGCAUAGCUGGUCGGACCCGAAAGAUGGUGAACUAUGCCUGAAUAGGGUGAAGCCAGAGGAAACUCUGGUGGAGGCUCGCAGCGGUUCUGACGUGCAAAUCGAUCGUCAAAUUUGGGUAUAGGG
rnacentral:rRNA from 1 species